AAUUUGUUGUGGACAUAUAAAAUGAAUAUGUGCGUCAACACCACCGGCUGUAACAAUUUGACCUUCUGCUGCAAUCACUUCUGUACAAGGACCAAUAACAAUAGUCACGUUAUCUUGAAUAUCAGGGUUGCCGGCCUUACCAAUACCCACGAUACGUCCAUGUUUGAUACCGAUAUCUGCUUUAACGAUACCCCAAUGAUCAACAAUAAGUGCAUUGGUGAUCACCGUAUCCACGGUAUCAAUGGU
rnacentral:sRNA from 1 species